UCAAAUUCAAAUAUCAAAAUACAAUCCUUCACUGAUCACUGGAUAAUUUGUUAAUGUAGCAUAUGUUUUAAUGUGUCAAAUUAUGGAUAAACUAUUUCUUUUAAAUCCAAUUUGAACAAAUUCAAUGAAAUAACUUAAAAUACAUAAGGGAAGUCUUUGUUUUAUCUAAUGUUAAAUUUUAUUUAUUGAAACUACAGAAAAAAUCAUUGCAGUAUUCUGACAAUUUGCAAUAAGCAACUGAUUUGUCCUUUUAUCAUAAUUAAGAGAAUAAGGACUGGAAAGACCAUCAAUUGCUGUUAGUAUUUCUUUGUGUUUUUGUCCAUCGGCAGAUAUAACUACUACAUUUGUGGAUGCAUGUCCUACUACGUAUACGUUACCAUCAUUGUCGACAGAUAUACCAAAUGGUCUCCUUAGGAUUUUGUUCUUAAAUGUCCAUUGUGCUGCACCCUGUAACCCAUAACAUAUCACAGAGUCGGUUUGGCAAUUUGCAUGGUAAAUUUUAUCACCAAAAUGUGCAACGUAACAAUAUGUUGGCAGUUGUAUGCAUUUGCAGACUAUUUCAUUUGUUGAGUUGUUAGCCGGAUCGAUCAAGUGUAUUCCUUUUACAAAUACAGAACAAAUCAAUUGUUUAUCUUUCACCGUUAUGCCAUAAGAAUAACUAUGAAGUGGUAUUUCUUUCUUUAUAUUUUUGUUUUGUAUGUCGAUAAUUGUUAUGCUUUGUCUCCCUGACUCUCCGGAUGUUACAGCUAGUGUGUUGUCCUCAAUGAUGUACGCUAUGUCAAAUGCAAGUGUUGGUGUUUGAACUUCAAAAUCUUUUGAGCCGUCAGUUUUGAAUAUUUUGACAAUAUUCGAAUCAUAAAACGUAAACGCCAUUCUUCCAUCUGGUAACAAACAACAACCCGUGGUAUUACAUCCCUUGAUAUCCACAGUUUUUUGCAGCUUUAUAUUGAUAUCUUCGACUGACUUACUUGAGACGCGUGGUACCAACAAUUGGGCUUGUUUGUUUUUCUUCCUUGAUAGGAUUACAUCAUAUGAUUUCCUCUCAAUCUUGACGUCUCCAAAUUCCUGGAUAUCUGUUACGAAUUUGUGUAAGACGGCACUGGGAUGAAAUGACAAUUCUAUAUUUUGUAAGUUGUCUCUGUCGACUAAAGAUUGUAGGAAUUUAUCAUUGCAGGAAACUUCAUUUUCAAAUUGGUUUAUAGAGAAAAACAUCUGAAAAUCUGUUGCGUGUUGUUUAAUUGUUUUUACAUUUUUUUGGUGUUCUGAAAUUUCGGCUCUCUUUCCAUCUAAUAAGGCAAUCAAUUGUCUUAUUUGGUCUGUUUCUUUUUUUUCAACUGUAUUCAAUGCUUCUAUUAUGGCAUCCUGUAUUUUGUCCAAAUGGUUGUUGAUUUUGGCCCGUGUUUCCUUGAUUUCCUUUUCAAUAUGCUGCUUUUUCUCGGAUAUUGUCUUUAUGUUGUUUUCUCGAUUCUGACGAAUUCUCUCUAUAUUUUCUGCCAUUUCUGAUAACGACUGUUCAAUUUCAUUUAAAGACUCCGAUGUUUUGGCUUUGUCGAUGAUGUUGGUUAAUCUGACGAAGUCUUUGCAAUCGAGGUGAUCUUCUACGACACAACCACCACAGCAGGGACAUUCAUGCUUUCUACAGUAAAUUGUGUACUUCUCAUUAUGUUUAUCACAGUUUUCGGUGAAUUUUUUAACAUCACUUGGUAAUUCCUGAUAUUCGGUUAUCGGCAUGGUAUCAUGAUUUCGCGAUGCUUUAGAAGCAGUAUGAUGUUUUAGGCAUUGUGGACAUAAACCUUCUUCACAUUCUGUGCACCAGACUAUAGAUGGUUUGGUGAUAUGCUGGAUAUCACAUGGACCGCAAGGAGGUAUUGAUGAUGCCAUGGUAAAUACAACUAAAAAUAAAAGGAAUUUAUUUAGAUAUAGUUAU
rnacentral:lncRNA from 1 species